AUACGGAGGGUGCAAGCGUUAUUCGGAAUCACUGGGCGUAAAGGACGCGUAGGCGGGUUGGCAAGUCAGAUGUGAAAUCCUACAGCUUGACUGUAGAACUGCAUUUGAAACUGCUAACCUAGAGUAUGGGAGGGGGAGAUGGAAUUAGUGGUGUAGGGGUAAAAUCCGUAGAUAUCACUAGGAAUACCGAAAGCGAAGGCGAUCUCCUGGAACAUAACUGACGCUAAGGCGUGAAAGCGUGGGGAGCAAACAGGAUUAGAUACCCCAGUAGUCC
rnacentral:rRNA from 1 species